UCUGUGAGUGGAACCCGCUGUGACGCCUUUUUCCCCCGACACCGUUUGACACGCGACUUCCGCAUGUGUAGUCGAAGUAGGACUGACCGGACGGAUAAAUAUCUUGAAGUGAUGAGCGGUCUUGGUGCUAGCUAACAGAAUCGGAUUUAUGGAUCAAAACACAACCUUUCCUGCAAAUACUUAGACGUGGUAAUGCAGAUGUGCUGACUGAGAAAAUGCAUCUGUUGCAUGGCAGCCAAUGUCACUCAUCUCGCCUGUUUGUGGAAAUCACACCUGAGCCAAAAAAAGAAAACCUCAGCUCUGCGAGUGGUUUCACGUGUCUCCAUUACGCCCGGGGAGAGGCAGGAUUCAGCUUUAGAGCCGCUCGGAGCGACGUCAGGAAUUAAAAUGACUGAACGGUGGACUUCCAUCAUCCUGUACAGACAACAGCUGUCAGCCACAGAGGGAGGGUUCUCAUUGAAACAGUGGAAGCUGAAUGAAUCCAAACAGGUAAACUGCCACGUUCGGCCGUCGGCAGUUGAGGUGUGACUUCAUUACACAGGCUACAUUUGCAAUUUGAGCCACAACAGGGAGAUUUUCAGCACGCCCAGCACCUUUCAAGGAAAAUGUUAAGGUAUGGCAAUUUAUCUACUGUACGUGAGACAUUUUAUUUUGUGCCUGCACUGUAACCCCGCUCCAAGAAAAUAUGUAUAUUAUUAAAAUAUAUGGACUGAGGGGAACCUCACACGCAGACGGAAAUCUGCUGCGACAAUUAUGUGCAGGGAGAAAAAGAGGAGGUUGAAAAGGCCACAAAUUAAAGGAGCCGCGUUGUCGAUGCUUUAUCCCUGAGCUUUCUAGGAGAGUCAUGCGUCUGAGAGAGGAUACACGUGCAGUCUGCGCACACGGACACACGAGCGAGGGAUUUUGAAUAUGUGUAAACAGUCAGAAGGCAGGGGAGACGGAUUGAUACAAAAUAAAAAUACGAAAUUAAAGAUUUGGGCUCAGAAUAUCUAUCAUCAUCACGGAUCAUUUCAGUGAUGUUAGUUUUGAGAGGAUUUUAAUUGAAUUUGUGUGUGCGUGCGUGCGUGCGUGCGUGCGUGCGCGUGUGUAAAUUCAUUUACACAGUCACAUUAUGGGGACUUGACUUCCUGAGGGUUGAGGCCCCGAACAACCUGAAUCAUUUAAUAUCAAGAUGAAGACGAUGUUUUAAGUUUUGGAUGAAGGUUAGGAUUGUUACGAUUGUAGUUGGGGCAAGGAGCGCGUAUCAGAAGUUUAUUAACGUGGGAGAUGUACCCCUUGAGAUGCAUCAUCUGGUUUCCGAGGUGGUCCUAAACGAUACAAGGGACAGUAAGUAAGUUAUGUUUUAAGGUUAGAAGAAGUCCCCAGGAAAUCAAUUUAAUUCAAUAUGUGUGUGUGUGUGAUGCAUGACACCACAAUACCUGGUCCGCUCCUUUUGGAAAGGAGCUUAAGGCAUUUUUUUAUUAAUGCGUCAUGGCGAGCUGCUGGCGGUAUAAAGCAAAUCUGCCGAUUCUAUUCUACAGCUCCAGUGUCAGCUUGUCAAACUCUACCUGUUCCAUCUUGUUUCCAGCGGCAGCUGUUGUUCGUAGCGGAAGCCUAACAUUAUAGGCUCCACUACCCACUUUACAGGUCAGCAACUAUAGCCAGUGAACAAAAGUUGUGGAUAUAAAAGGAACAUUGCACAAACUGUAUAUCUAUUGCACGGACGCGUAUCAAAAGCACAUGUUAGAUUUAUGAACGCGUGCAUUGCAUGACGGAUUUCGAAAUAAGGGCGUUGUUUUUAAUGCUAAUGACGAAAUCUCAGGGAUUCAUCAGCCAUCUGAUCUUUACAGAGCCACAGAGAAAAUGUUGUCAUCUCGCAGACAGGAGUAGCUGUAGCUGAAGGAAAAAAAAAGAAAGAUAAUCCACAUAAAAAAGGACAGUAGUUUCACCUGGCUAAUUUGGAAGAUGAAAUUGUAAAACAGACAAAAAACCAUGGAACAGUUUUUUGGAUUCAGGGAUUGGCCGAGUGAAAGUGAUGCUGAAGAGGCGUCGACGGCGGACCAAGCUUUUCUGAUUGUGUGGUCGGUGGUGAUUUGAAUAGGCCUCGGGUAAUAACGGGUUGAUACGUUCACACAAUCAGUGAUGAAAGCAAUCAUGUAAUAGGUCCUUAUUUCACCUCAGGAAAAGAAAGAAAGAAAAAAGGUAAUACCCGGCCAUUAAUAUACUGUAGAUCAGCUGUAAUCAAUGAUAGCAUGUAGCCCGGAAAAAAAAAGUGUCACCUGCUGGAACAACGCAGGUUCAAGAUGAUUCAACUUAUUUCAUCUGUGGCACGGAAAAGGACAAAAAUAAAAGAUAUGCAUGUGGUUAUGAAGGUGUUUUCUUCAUAACCACAACUUCCUUUACAUAUUGAGACAAAUAGAGAAUAACAACCAGUAGUAGCAACCAUCAGGUUAGUGUCAGGUUUUAUAGAUUCAAAACUAAAUCAUGAACUAAAUAUUCCAGCUAAUAACUAAACGUCAGUGAUACAGUUUACUUUUGGAUCUCAUGUACUACUUUGAAAGGUCCUGCAGCAUCAUUUUGUAAACACAUACAAAACCUCUCUCACACACACACACACACACACACACACACACACACACACACACACACACUAGUACGAUUGCCAAUUGCCAGUGUGAGAACUUCAGAGGCCCCCAGCUGUGAGUGUGUGUGCACAUGUAUUUUUUUCAUAAAUUAAUAAA